AUUGAACGCUGGCGGCAGGCCUAACACAUGCAAGUCGAGCGGUAGCACAGAGAGCUUGCUCUCGGGUGACGAGCGGCGGACGGGUGAGUAAUGUCUGGGAAACUGCCUGAUGGAGGGGGAUAACUACUGGAAACGGUAGCUAAUACCGCAUAACGUCGCAAGACCAAAGUGGGGGACCUUCGGGCCUCAUGCCAUCAGAUGUGCCCAGAUGGGAUUAGCUAGUAGGUGGGGUAAUGGCUCACCUAGGCGACGAUCCCUAGCUGGUCUGAGAGGAUGACCAGCCACACUGGAACUGAGACACGGUCCAGACUCCUACGGGAGGCAGCAGUGGGGAAUAUUGCACAAUGGGCGCAAGCCUGAUGCAGCCAUGCCGCGUGUAUGAAGAAGGCCUUCGGGUUGUAAAGUACUUUCAGCGAGGAGGAAGGCGUUAAGGUUAAUAACCUUGGCGAUUGACGUUACUCGCAGAAGAAGCACCGGCUAACUCCGUGCCAGCAGCCGCGGUAAUACGGAGGGUGCAAGCGUUAAUCGGAAUUACUGGGCGUAAAGCGCACGCAGGCGGUCUGUCAAGUCGGAUGUGAAAUCCCCGGGCUCAACCUGGGAACUGCAUUCGAAACUGGCAGGCUAGAGUCUUGUAGAGGGGGGUAGAAUUCCAGGUGUAGCGGUGAAAUGCGUAGAGAUCUGGAGGAAUACCGGUGGCGAAGGCGGCCCCCUGGACAAAGACUGACGCUCAGGUGCGAAAGCGUGGGGAGCAAACAGGAUUAGAUACCCUGGUAGUCCACGCCGUAAACGAUGUCGACUUGGAGGUUGUGCCCUUGAGGCGUGGCUUCCGGAGCUAACGCGUUAAGUCGACCGCCUGGGGAGUACGGCCGCAAGGUUAAAACUCAAAUGAAUUGACGGGGGCCCGCACAAGCGGUGGAGCAUGUGGUUUAAUUCGAUGCAACGCGAAGAACCUUACCUACUCUUGACAUCCAGAGAACUUAGCAGAGAUGCUUUGGUGCCUUCGGGAACUCUGAGACAGGUGCUGCAUGGCUGUCGUCAGCUCGUGUUGUGAAAUGUUGGGUUAAGUCCCGCAACGAGCGCAACCCUUAUCCUUUGUUGCCAGCGGUCCGGCCGGGAACUCAAAGGAGACUGCCAGUGAUAAAUUGGAGGAAGGUGGGGAUGACGUCAAGUCAUCAUGGCCCUUACGAGUAGGGCUACACACGUGCUACAAUGGCAUAUACAAAGAGAAGCGACCUCGCGAGAGCAAGCGGACCUCAUAAAGUAUGUCGUAGUCCGGAUUGGAGUCUGCAACUCGACUCCAUGAAGUCGGAAUCGCUAGUAAUCGUAGAUCAGAAUGCUACGGUGAAUACGUUCCCGGGCCU
rnacentral:rRNA from 1 species